UACAGAGGGUGCAAGCGUUGUUCGGAAUUACUGGGCGUAAAGAGUGUGUAGGCGGUGUUCUAAGUCUGUUGUGAAAUCUCCCGGCUUAACUGGGAGGGUGCGGCGGAAACUGGAAUGCUAGAGGAUGGGAGAGGUAAGCGGAAUUCCUGGUGUAGCGGUGAAAUGCGUAGAUAUCAGGAGGAACACCUGUGGUGUAGACAGCUUACUGGACCAUUUCUGACGCUGAGACACGAAAGCGUGGGUAGCAAACAGG
rnacentral:rRNA from 1 species